rnacentral:tRNA from 1 species
GCGCCUGUAGCUCAGUGGAUAGAGCAUGCGCCUUCUAAGCGCAGGGUCAGGAGUUCGAAUCUCUUCAGGCGCG